rnacentral:misc_RNA from 1 species
AAUACAAUACAUGCAUACAGUUGUUGUGCUACAUGUGAAUGUUUCUCAUUCUAAAUGCAUUUCUGACAUGAAUAGUUGGUAAAGCAAUACUGUUAUUGUGUAUAUAAAUGUUCAUGUGUCUCUCUAUGUAUGGACAGGUAGUGUAAGAGUUGUAUACUACUACACUGCAUUACUAUCCACUUUG